rnacentral:rRNA from 1 species
AUUGAACGCUGGCGGAAUGCUUUACACAUGCAAGUCGAACGGCAGCGCGGACUUCGGUCCGGUGGCGAGUGGCGAACGGGUGAGUAAUGUAUCGGAACGUGCCCAGUCGUGGGGGAUAACGUAGUGAAAAUUACGCUAAUACCGCAUACGAUCUAUGGAUGAAAGCGGGGGAUCGCAAGACCUCGCGCGAUUGGAGCGGCCGAUAUCAGAUUAGGUAGUUGGUGGGUAAAGGCCCACCAAGCCAACGAUCUGUAGCUGGUCUGAGAGGACGACCAGCCACACUGGAACUGAGACACGGUCCAGACUCCUACGGGAGGCAGCAGUGGGGAAUUUUGGACAAUGGGCGAAAGCCUGAUCCAGCCAUUCCGCGUGCAGGAUGAAGGCCCUCGGGUUGUAAACUGCUUUUGUACAGAACGAAAAGGUUUCUACUAAUACUAGGAGCUCAUGACGGUACUGUAAGAAUAAGCACCGGCUAACUACGUGCCAGCAGCCGCCGCGG